ensembl:lncRNA
CGCGCCUCGCCCCGCAGCCCCGCGUGCGCGCCCCCGCGGGCACGCCGCCCCGGGGUCUCCCCGCCCGCGCGGUCCCGCGGGGCUGGGGGCACCGCUUCGCGGGGACUCAUCAGCCUUCGGCUUCGCGCCCUGCGGCCCAAACAACUUCCUGCCACCCCCCACACCCCCCAUCCCCUGGCCCAUACCAUGGGCAGGAGCUGCGGGGAGAAGUUCUAGGCCGCAGCUUUGCUAUCUGGGGGCCGGACGACGACGCUGCUGUCCCCGGGCCGCGCGGUUUCUGCCCGCGCCCUCUGCCGCAGUCGCGAGCGGGCCGGGGCUCCAGGGUCCGGACCCUGUUGCCAGCCCUGACCAGGACGUAUCGGGGAAGAGGACACAUUCCCAUGAGAUGAGUACUGCAGGGCGCCCCCGCGCAAGCCUCACAGACCCUGCCAUCACCUCCUCCUGCUCUGGCCACACCAAGGAAGAACCCAACCACUAACUGCCAUUAUAAAGUCCCCCUUUCCCCAUCUUUACUGUAUGGUUCAACUACUUUAUAAAAAAAC